rnacentral:rRNA from 1 species
GCCUCCUACGGGAGGCAGCAGUAGGGAAUCUUCCACAAUGGGCGAAAGCCUGAUGGAGCAACACCGCGUGGGUGAAGAAGGUCUUCGGAUCGUAAAACCCUGUUGUCAGAGAAGAAAGUGCGUGAGAGUAACUGUUCACGUUUCGACGGUAUCUAACCAGAAAGCCACGGCUAACUACGUGCCAGCAGCCGCGGUAAUACGUAGGUGGCAAGCGUUAUCCGGAUUUAUUGGGCGUAAAGGGAACGCAGGCGGUCUUUUAAGUCUGAUGUGAAAGCCUUCGGCUCAACCGGAGGAGUGCAUUGGAA